rnacentral:rRNA from 1 species
ACGAACGCUGGCGGCGUGCCUAAUACAUGCAAGUCGAACGCUUCUUUUUCCACCGGAGCUUGCUCCACCGGAAAAAGAGGAGUGGCGAACGGGUGAGUAACACGUGGGUAACCUGCCCAUCAGAAGGGGAUAACACUUGGAAACAGGUGCUAAUACCGUAUAACAAUCGAAACCGCAUGGUUUUGAUUUGAAAGGCGCUUUCGGGUGUCGCUGAUGGAUGGACCCGCGGUGCAUUAGCUAGUUGGUGAGGUAAUGGCUCACCAAGGCGACGAUGCAUAGCCGACCUGAGAGGGUGAUCGGCCACAUUGGGACUGAGACACGGCCCAAACUCCUACGGGAGGCAGCAGUAGGGAAUCUUCGGCAAUGGACGAAAGUCUGACCGAGCAACGCCGCGUGAGUGAAGAAGGUUUUCGGAUCGUAAAACUCUGUUGUUAGAGAAGAACAAGGAUGAGAGUAACUGUUCAUCCCUUGACGGUAUCUAACCAGAAAGCCACGGCUAACUACGUGCCAGCAGCCGCGGUAAUACGUAGGUGGCAAGCGUUGUCCGGAUUUAUUGGGCGUAAAGCGAGCGCAGGCGGUUUCUUAAGUCUGAUGUGAAAGCCCCCGGCUCAACCGGGGAGGGUCAUUGGAAACUGGGAGACUUGAGUGCAGAAGAGGAGAGUGGAAUUCCAUGUGUAGCGGUGAAAUGCGUAGAUAUAUGGAGGAACACCAGUGGCGAAGGCGGCUCUCUGGUCUGUAACUGACGCUGAGGCUCGAAAGCGUGGGGAGCAAACAGGAUUAGAUACCCUGGUAGUCCACGCCGUAAACGAUGAGUGCUAAGUGUUGGAGGGUUUCCGCCCUUCAGUGCUGCAGCUAACGCAUUAAGCACUCCGCCUGGGGAGUACGACCGCAAGGUUGAAACUCAAAGGAAUUGACGGGGGCCCGCACAAGCGGUGGAGCAUGUGGUUUAAUUCGAAGCAACGCGAAGAACCUUACCAGGUCUUGACAUCCUUUGACCACUCUAGAGAUAGAGCUUCCCCUUCGGGGGCAAAGUGACAGGUGGUGCAUGGUUGUCGUCAGCUCGUGUCGUGAGAUGUUGGGUUAAGUCCCGCAACGAGCGCAACCCUUAUUGUUAGUUGCCAUCAUUUAGUUGGGCACUCUAGCAAGACUGCCGGUGACAAACCGGAGGAAGGUGGGGAUGACGUCAAAUCAUCAUGCCCCUUAUGACCUGGGCUACACACGUGCUACAAUGGGAAGUACAACGAGUCGCAAAGUCGCGAGGCUAAGCUAAUCUCUUAAAGCUUCUCUCAGUUCGGAUUGUAGGCUGCAACUCGCCUACAUGAAGCCGGAAUCGCUAGUAAUCGCGGAUCAGCACGCCGCGGUGAAUACGUUCCCGGGCCUUGUACACACCGCCCGUCACACCACGAGAGUUUGUAACACCCGAAGUCGGUGAGGUAACCUUUUGGAGCCAGCCGCCUAAGGUGGGAUAGAUGAUUGGGGUG